CAUUAAAAGAUAUUGUAAUUAGCCUCACUCCGGCUUUAUUAUCUUCAUCCUUUGCAAGCCUUUGCUAGUUAUUUUGGCUGGCAGGCGCUUAAGUGCGAAGCCAGCUGGCACCCAACAAAACUCUGAAUGUUUGUGCAGUCUGAGUAAACUAUAUAAUAAACAAAACUUUCAACAACGGAUCUCUUGGUUCCCGCAUCGAUGAAGAACGCAGCGAAAUGCGAUAAGUAAUGUGAAUUGCAGAAUUCAGUGAAUCAUCGAAUCUUUGAACGCACAUUGCACCCUUUGGAAUUCCGAGGGGUAUGCCUGUUCGAGCGUCAUUUACACCCUCAAGCUUUGGCUUGGUGUUGGGCUAUUGCCACCGGCAUGCCUGAAAAUCAGCGGCGAAUUUGAGCCUCUGGCGUAAGCGCAUUGAAAUUACCGCUGAGCCUCUGGUGAGAAGUCUGCCAAAGACCAAAUAUUCUAUAUUUUG
rnacentral:rRNA from 1 species